AAUACUAUGUCUGAUUAAAGUAAUAAAUUGUAAAUUUAUUUAAGAAAAUAAUAUUUUCUAGUGUUA
rnacentral:tRNA from 1 species